AUAGUCACAUUGGUAACAUAAAUGCUAAAACUGAAAUGACACAGAGAAGACAAAUAUGGCCCCCAUGCAAGGAGGACAUGUACAUUCAUGGAUUGUUUGAUAUCUUU
rnacentral:snRNA from 1 species